AAAAAGAUAAGCUAAUCCAAGCUAAUAGGUUCAUACCCUUUUUAUGAAAGUAUCCACUCUUUCUCUUUUUA
rnacentral:tRNA from 1 species